AUAUGUUUCCUCCUAUUUGGCCUCCAGUGCAAACUCAUUAGUUGUUAAACAGUGGGUUUUUUUUCUUAAUGAAGUUCAUAUUAAUUUGUUGUUUCUUUAGAACAGACCGGAACAGAAUAGACUUUAUUAAUCCCAUAGUGGGGGAAUUCACUCUUUACAGCUGCACAGACACUUAAAGGAGCAUGGGGCAGGAAUUGUCCAAAAACAAGAAGUAAAUAGGAUACAUGUUCAUUCUUGUGAAGCUUAUGGGUGAUGAAGCAUUUUAAACUAAAAAGAAUGAUGAAACCAGUUUAUCAUUCCAUUUUGUUAAUCAGGCUGUGUGCUGCAAAAUGCAAAACAUUCCUGAUCCGAAUUUCCCGCACUGUUUUACGGAUGUGACGUUAAUUGACGCUUCAAGCGCGUUCUCGACAAGGUUCAAACCCGGAAAAAUAUUUGGAAGCUUGCUAGGUGGCGGUAAUGCGUCUUUCACUACUAGCCACGUUAAAACCUCAAACAGAAGAGGAAGAACCCUGGAAAUGGAUUCUACAACUAGCAAACGACCAAGCGCAACUCAAAGCCCACUAAAGUGGCACAAAGAAGAAGGUUUUAUCAGCAGCAUCUCGAGAGUCAAAAAGAAAAUAUAAAAGUCGGUCAGGGACCCGAAUAUGUAUUGGGUACGCUCUGGAAGAAUGAGGCUGGUUCAACUCAAUUUGGGCCUGAAAAGGAUGCAGACAUGGCACAUUUUCUAGUGACCAGGUAAGUGUUGUACUACCUGGUCUCCUUAUGUCUGCUGUAGGUUUCAGUAACGAGUAGGUUAACAUGUCAGAGCUGUAUCUCCACAAUUUAAGAACAUAAAAUAAAACCUAUGGAUUUAGAUAAUACUGAUUUAGGUAAUCUAACAAAUCUUUGUGCGGAUGAACAAGAAACUUAUCUAAGCUAACGUUGUUUAGCAUAUGGCUUCCUGAUCAGUUUGAAAAAGCUAAAAGCAACUAAGGAGUAAUCGAUCACUUCUACGUUUUGUGGACGACACACCGCUUGUGUUUGGAGAUAAAUGGAUGCUCCGUUUAUUCUGACGAGAAACGUAAACAGAGCUUGAUUUGAUUAUAUGAUGUCACCGAUCAGCCGGAGAGAGCUAGCGUGCGUAGCAUGUUAGCUGUGCUCACGCUUCAGUUUGUAUGUACCACAGAAGAGAACGGACAUUUUCCAAACCAAAGAUGAGUCUUUAGAAUUAUGUCAUAUUUGAUCCACAGUCCAACCUCUAAGCAGGACUGUUACUUCAGUAGAUAAUGUUAUUCGUGGGGUUUGUGUAACAGAAGCCCAUUGGAAUAUCUUUUCCUAACGUUAGUGCUGUGCUACAAAAGAGUAAAUAACUAGUCAGCCAUUACUACAUGUUUUACUAAAAGUAAAGUUGUGCAGAAGUUUGUGUUUAUUUUUCUAAAUUUGCCCUGUUGAAUGUAGGUCAGAAUAAAAUAUGUUUGUGAAAAUGAUAAAUACAUUUUUUUUAUGACUGACCUGCAUUUUCAUAUUACUAGUUGUGCCACAGGUAAAGAUGCUUAGCCAUUAUUGAUCUAUGUAAACAGAAGGUGUAGAGUCUCAACCAACUUGUUGACAUUUUUGUUUAAAAAUGUGUUUUCCAGCUACCGGAAGAAGCAGGCUCCUGAAACUGCAAUUCAGGGAGGUAAUGUGCAGUCAACCUCGACACCCAGUAAGCGAACAGCAGCUAAAAUGUCGCAUCGAUUAUCUCCAACUGAACCUGUGUCUGAGGGGGAAGAUUUUCUAAUGGCUGGUGUUGAGGCCUUAGCUGAUGACCUAGAUUUGGAUCCUUUUGAAGAAAGGCUGGGAUCCUAAAGGGAAUUUCCAUCCUACUUGUGUGGCUGAAGGACAUCGUCAACCAAUUUUGGUACAUUUGCCAGAAAGCACAACAUCGUGAUAUGUUUAAUGACAUGUGGGUGGGUGUGCUUCACCAUGUCACAGGGAAGCAUGAAUGGACCCGUGGCAAAUGUGAGCAUGGACCACUUGAUGCAACGACCAGUGAUAAAGAGCUCAUGGUACCAUGAUCUCCACCACACGAGGCUCUUCAACGAAUCAUGUUUAACAGACGCUGGUUGAAGGAUGUCACCAAUCUGACCUUUAGGUAUAUUAAUAACAUUUUCAUAAGCAAAAAAUCUAAAGUGUCAAUAUCAAAGCUGACGAUUUACAUAUAGAAAUGACAAUUGUGGGUGAAAAGGCAAUCAAAAGUGUGAUUCCUAAUAAUCUAUAAAGUUGUAGCUUUUGUUUUUCUUACAGGUCAACUUCAGAACUGGAGAGUUUCCAGAACUGCAUUCUCAUGUAAUCUAUGUAUGAUCUAAUGCUGCUGUUCUCCUCUCUCCAUAAAGGCCCCAGCUACGUGAAGCAUCAAAAGAUAGGAAAGACUUCUUUCAUGCACACAGAUUUAUUAGAAAUUAAGAAAAACUACUAUGUACAAAUGCAAAUAACAGAACUU